rnacentral:rRNA from 1 species
GUGUGCUGGNUUCGCCCUUAGAGUUUGAUCCUGGCUCAGAGUGAACGCUGGCGGCAGGCCUAACACAUGCAAGUCGAGCGGCAGCGGGUCCUUCGGGAUGCCGGCGAGCGGCGGACGGGUGAGGAAUACAUCGGAAUCUGCCCUGUCGUGGGGGAUAACCUAGGGAAACUUAGGCUAAUACCGCAUACGACCUACGGGUGAAAGCGGGGGAUCGCAAGACCUCGCGCGACAGGAUGAGCCGAUGUCCGAUUAGCUAGUUGGCGGGGUAAAGGCCCACCAAGGCGACGAUCGGUAGCUGGUCUGAGAGGAUGAUCAGCCACACUGGGACUGAGACACGGCCCAGACUCCUACGGGAGGCAGCAGUGGGGAAUAUUGGACAAUGGGCGCAAGCCUGAUCCAGCCAUGCCGCGUGGGUGAAG